UGUACACACCGCCCGUCACACCACGAGAGUUUGUAACACCCGAAGCCGGUGGAGUAACCUUUUGGAGCUAGCCGUCGAAGGUGGGACAAAUGAUUGGGGUGAAGUCGUAACAAGGUAGCCGUAUCGGAAGGUGCGGCUGGAUCACCUCCUUUCUAAGGA
rnacentral:rRNA from 1 species